UCGAACUAUUUGAUCUUCAAAUAAUUUUAUCUGACAAUUACUCAAGUACUUUACACCUCUGAUCCCCACACAUUGUAGUUGAUAUGUUGAUGGGUACAAUUUGUAUUUCCCUUUUUUGAUAGUGUAGCCUAUAUAUAUAUAUACUCUUGUAGUGUCAGUUUUUAAGAACAGCCCAACAAACACACAACGUUGGCACAACGUAGCCAACCUUCUAACAACGUGGCCAAAAGGUUGCUAUAACUACGUUGCGUUGUGAACGUUGUUACAGCGUUGUCACAAUGUUGACAUCUGACCACCGCUCAGUUCCAUUGCUCAAGGUUGCGCUUUGGUGUCUGGACUACCACUGGACGACGUCUACUCGUCACUGCUCCUGUUCCUCUGGAGCGCGCAUUUUAAAUUACAAAUGACCGUUGAACCGUCUCUUCAUCGAGCCAGGAUACGCUAAGUUCUUAACUCAUAUCUUUCAGUCAGGUGACUGGAGCAGAGACCUGGAGGGCAAAACACCCACAGAACUGCAGGACAGGCCUGUUAAUUUUCCAUCUGUUUCAAACAACAAAUAUUACAUUGUGUCUCAAAAAAAGGUGGGUGUUCCUAUGAAAACUAUCAAUGAAGGUAAGCAUACACUAUUUUAAUUAUUUUCUUGUAAACAAUUGAAUGGGUCUAUUAAUAAAUCUAUUAAAUUUAAUAUUAAAGAUUAAGUAACAAUAAAAAAGUAAGUAACACUUUCAGAAUGUUUUCAUUAGUGAGAUUCACCUCAGAUCAGUGCAGCUGUAAUUCCUGAUGCAUGGAUGCAUUAGAUAAGUACUGUGUGAAAGUGUUGUUAGAUACAAAUCUCUCUCUCUUUCUUUUUUUUUAUU